rnacentral:rRNA from 1 species
GACGAACGCUGGCGGCGUGCUUAACACAUGCAAGUCGAACGGAAAGGCCUCUUUCGGGGGGUACUCGAGUGGCGAACGGGUGAGUAACACGUGAGUAACCUGCCCUUGACUUUGGGAUAACUUCAGGAAACUGGGGCUAAUACCGGAUAGGAGCUCCUGCUGCAUGGUGGGGGUUGGAAAGUUUCGGCGGUUGGGGAUGGACUCGCGGCUUAUCAGCUUGUUGGUGGGGUAGUGGCUUACCAAGGCUUUGACGGGUAGCCGGCCGGGGAGGGUGACCGGCGACAUUGGGGCUGAGAGACGGCCCAGACUCCGACGGGAGGCAGCAGGGGGGAAUAUUGCACAAUGGGUGGAAGCCUGAUGCAGCAACGCCGUGGGCGGGAGGACGGCCUUCGGGUUGUAAACCGCUUUCGCUCAUGACGAAGCUUUGUGUGACGGUAGUGGGUAAAGAAGCACCGGCUAACUACGUG